rnacentral:rRNA from 1 species
UACAGAGGUCCCAAGCGUUGUUCGGAUUCACUGGGCGUAAAGGGUGCGUAGGUGGCAGGGUAAGUCGGAUGUGAAAUCUCGGAGCUCAACUCCGAAAUGGCAUUGGAAACUACCCAGCUCGAGGGUUGGAGGGGGGACUGGAAUGCUUGGUGUAGCAGUGAAAUGCGCAGAUAUCAGGAGGAACACCGGUGGCGAAGGCGGGUCUCUGGGCCGAUACUGACGCUGAGGAGCGAAAGCGUGGGGAGCGAACAGG